UACAGAGGUCUCGAGGCGUUGUUCGGAUUCAUUGGGCGUAAAGAGCUCGUAGGUGGUUCGGUAAGUCGGGUGUGAAACCUCCAGGCUCAACCUGGAGACGCCACCCGAUACUGCUGUGACUGGAGUCCGGUAGGGGAGCGUGGAAUUCCUGGUGUAGCGGUGAAAUGCGCAGAUAUCAGGAGGAACACCAGCGGCGAAGGCGGCGCCUCGUGGGCCGGUACUGACACUUGAGGGAGCGAAAGCGUGGGUAGCAAACAGGA
rnacentral:rRNA from 1 species